rnacentral:rRNA from 1 species
CGAUGCCUACGGGGGGCAGCAGUGGGGGAUAUUGCACAAUGGGGGGCACCCUGAUGCAGCGACGCCGCGUGGGUGAAGAAGCGCCUCGGCGCGUAAAGCCCUGUCAGCAGGGAAGAAAAUGACGGUACCUGAAGAAGAAGCCCCGGCUAACUCCGUGCCAGCAGCCGCGGUAAUACGGAGGGUGCGAGCGUUAAUCGGAAUUACUGGGCGUAAAGCGCUCGUAGGCGGUAUGUCAAGUCAAGGGUGAAAUCCCCGCGCUCAACGUGGGAACUGCCUUUGAAACUGGCAAACUGGAGUGGGUGAGG